rnacentral:rRNA from 1 species
GUGGGGAAUAUUGGGCAAUGGGGGAAACCCUGACCCAGCGACGCCGCGUGAGGGAAGAAGGCCUUAGGGUCGUAAACCUCUGUUGUGUGGGAAGAAGAGCGUGACGGUACCACACGAGGAAGUCCCGGCUAACUACGUGCCAGCAGCCGCGGUAAUACGUAGGGGACGAGCGUUGUCCGGAUUUACUGGGCGUAAAGGGCGCGUAGGCAGUCAUUUAAGUCAGCUGUGAAAUGGUUUGGCUUAACCGGAUCAUGCGGUUGAAACUGGAUGACUGGAGUGCUGGAGAGGCAAGUGGAAUUCCCAGUGUAGCGGUGAAAUGCGUAGAUAUUGGGAAGAACACCGGUGGCGAAGGCGACUUGCUGGCCAGUAACUGACGCUGAGGCGCGAAAGCCAGGGGAGCAAACGGGAUUAGAAACCCGGGUAGUCC